UCAUGUGUUACAAAUAGUUGAAGUGAAGUUAUGAUAUGUUUUUGAGCUGUCUCUCCACACCGCUAACUUGCAUCUAUUUAUUUUGUGUUUUGCAGAUGUACAUCAGGUGUACAGUCAAUCUGUGCAUCUCCAUCAAUCCCUCUCAGAAAUGCCCUAAUCUGUGUACCCACUCGAAUAAUAACAGAAUGCUGGUUGACGGUGUGUAUACCAGCACAUACACCAUUAGCUCAGCGGCCAUUAGCCUCAUGGUCGCCAAUUCUGCACCAACUAUUACAGUCGUCACCACUCCUGCACUAACUACGACUGGUGCAAUUAUCAGACCAACCCAGGUCUUCAUCAUCUCACAUGCUCCAGAACAGGCCUCAGCCUUGAUAGCAGGAGUGAUUUUGACACUAUCAGCCUAUUUCUUCAAAACAUCUUCCUUUACUGAACAUGCUGCUGAAUGAUGAUCUGUCACAAUAUGUUGUAUAAAGAACUUUAUUGUAAGACCAAUGUAUUUCAGCUUGUGGCCUUCAUCAGUCAUUAUUCCUUUCUUGCCCCUGACUUUCUGUCAGCCCUCUACUAAUUUAAGCUAGUAAACAUUCCUUUGCAAACAAAAACCUUGAAAGAAGCACCUGACUCCUUAUACUGCACUGUCUCAUGUACUUUACUCGAUGUUGUUUUCAAUAAAGUAAAUUGUUGGGCACGUUCAAGAAAUUUUUUGUCUGCAUACAUUAUUAGAGGAAAAUUACAAAAAAGCUAAAAGUGAAAUCCAGUCAACAUCUAACCAGACUGCGUAUUGUUGAAUAUUCACAUCUAUUGUAGGCUGUACAGAUGAGGCACAGCACGGAGCACAUCAAAACAGGGUAGGUGGGAUAUCCGGGUAGUGAGAGUAAAAUGCUUAUUUGAGCAUCGAAAUUCAUGUCUGGCCUUUGGGAACACGUAUGUGCAAUUAAACAAUCGAAGCUCAAAGGUCUACUUCCUAGCUUUUUGGAGAUUUCAAUCACAUCUCACAGUGCUUUUCAGCUAUUGUGUGUCUACUCACUAAAGAUGAUGAUAAGAUUUUGUUGAAAGCUCAGAAAAGCUAGUAAGUGGAAAUAUGAGCAUUGAUCAUUAGUAAGUAAGCUGCACUCGCAAAACUGCAUGUAGGCCUACGGUGUACAGAAGUACUGUAUGCAAUUCAGAGAAAGGUUGUGGGAUGUGCUUCAAUAAUAGACCUACUGCAUGUAAAUGCAAAUCGAGACUUGGCAUUUUCAGCGGUACCAUCAAAAGCAAAAAAGUGAAGCCAGUCCAACCCACUAUUUAAGGUCUCUACUUUUUUUUAAUUAAUGUUUACAUAAAGGUUAGAGAGCAAUAAAAAUAUAUGUUUUUAAAAUGUUUAAAGGUUGUUGAUAGCACUUUUAAUUUUAAAUCUAUACACUAAAUUGUCAAUAUUUAUCCAGAGAAAGUCCUAUUUUGAACAAAUCAUGAAAUUGUGUUUAUUCGAGCCCCAAUGAGUUUGAGAACAAGUGACUUUUUACUUACUUACUUAAUUUUUACUUACUUUAUUUCAUUAACUUGUGUUUUCUUACCCAUAUACAAAACAGAACACUGACCUCUCCUGAUCAUGUUCAAAGAUGUGUUUCUUUUCCAGAGCAUUUUCACACCAUGUUUACUGCUGUGAAAAUGUAAAUAUAGUAAAUUGUUCUGUAGAUCAUUGUCUGUGCAAAAAAACUCAAAUGUCACAGGCUUUGAAAGCUGGCAUGUCCUUUAGUUAAAUGAUUCUCAAAGUGGGGUUCGUGCAUGGCACUCUACCAAGGGGUCCGUUAAAUAUUUUUGAUUCAUUCAUUUAAAUUUAUCAUGAUAUGAAAAAACAUGUUCUUUAUUUUUACGAAUCUGCAAAUAUGUUUAAUACAUAUCUAAAAUAGUUCAUAUAUAUUUAUAUAUAUAUAUGUGUAUAUACAUAUUUUAUUUAUUUUUAUAUAUAUAUUUCUUUCUAUCUUGUAAAAAAUUGAAAACCUCUGCUUUAUUUCAUAAUGCAAACAUUUUAUACAUGUAUCUUUUAUUGACAUGGACGAUCGCAAAUCCAUAUUUGCCUAAAUUAGUAAUAGCAUCCACCUAUAUAACAGACGGGCAACAUGGAGGCUGUGGUGCAGAUAAACCUGCACUAGCGAGCACUAGGCAUGACUAUAAACUAAACCAAACGCCUUUAACCAAAGAUACUGGCUCACUGCCCUUACUGUAUUUGUUUUCAUUCUGGAGAUGUGACCAAUCCCAGUUUAGACUGGGAGGAGACUAGCCCGCCUUCAUGUUGGACACGCCUCUAUGUUCAGGGAACACCGCUUCAUACAUACACUGUUGUUAGCGACGUAGCCUCUACGGCCAAUUUCAUUUUUGACAUUUCCAUUUGCGACCCCUUCUCAGAACUUCACUUUUUGUCACGGCCAGGUGAAUGCACGAGUAGCGGUUUACUGGUUCAAAUUGUUGCUGGUGGCAGUCCUGCGAGGUAAGUUAAACUAGUGUUAGCUCGUUAGCCGAACAUACCCUGUACUGAUGGGGGGUUGGUUGUUGUGCUAACGUAGCAUUUAGUUAGCUCCUAUAUAACCUUGCCGAACAGACCAGAUAGCGAUCUAACACUCGCCGCUUUUCUGUGAUGACUUAAUAUUUUGGUUUAUUUUCGUCUUCCAACAAAAUAACAUGUGCGAUUUAAGUAGCGGCUUCGUUAGCUUGCGGCGCCGAUAAGUUAGUCAAGCUAGUCUUAGCUAAGAGCGGCGACCAUGAAUUAGCUGACAUGCUAACGCCGAACUGACUGACCUGACAACAUGCAUUUUUGUUGUUAGUUUCUUCUUGCUACAUCUUAUUGUACUGCCUGUGUAGGGUUUUUUAAAGAGAAAAACGUUACUGUAGGAUAAGCCAUAUGUGUGACAACUAAGUCUUUUUAUGUCGAACUUCUCGCACAACUUGGCGUUAACGUUAUGAAGAAGCUAGUGUUAGCUCUUUAGCUGGCUAGCGUUAUUCCCUACAUGGCCACAUCUAGCAUAGCCAGAAUUAAUUUCUGACUAUGUGACUUUAUUUUACUACCCUGGUGUAACGGCAGCCCAUACGUUAUAAACUAAGCAGCCAAUUGUGUUGUCGCGCUGUCAGCUGCGAUGAAGCGUGGCUGUUUUCUUUUCGAUAUCUUGUUAGCCAACACGUUCAGAUCAUCUGGAUUUUUUUUUUUUUUUAGUAAAUCCCAUUUUACUGGGGACGGCCAGCGAUGACCCGAGAGUGACACACCGACACUUGCUGUUUCUUUUCUGACAACUAGCCUUUAAUCUGCAGAUAGUUUAGGUUCGCUUGCUUGCCACAUAACUUCGAGCUAGGACGAAAGCCAACGUCAGCCAUCAGACAAGCGAAAGCGGUCAGCAGCACCGAAAACGGAUGGCGUUAAGAUCGGUGUUUGGCAGAGAGGGGGAGGGGAUGAGGCAGGGCUACAGCGAGCGAGAGAGAGACAGCGCCUACAUGCCAGUAAAAUAUGGGCUGGCAGCUACAUGUUAGCUUUUUUGUAGCACUAGCCGACUAAUUUACCCAUAUUUUACUGUCUGCCGUAUUUGCUUCGCGUUUCGGCAAAGACAUUUUGAAGCUAGAUAUGCGACAGACUCGAUCUCGGCGACUCAAGACCGUACGCUCAGCCACCGUGUUUUCCGAAACUGGUGGUGCAGAGCAGUGAGGCACAAUGUCGGCUCUCCGCUGGCCGACUGCAAUGACGUUUGCUUAGGGAACAUCAAUAAAUUACUUUUCUCUCUGUACAAGUUUGGACUGUGCUUGGAGCCACAUAGACCGAUUGCAUAUUUUUUGUAUACUUCGUAUAUAUAUAUAUA
ensembl:lncRNA